UUAAACUCAAUGAAAAAAGACGGAUACGAGUAAUUAAACGCAGAGUCUACAGACAAUGUAGACCUACUUGUCGCACCGAAUAGUGAAAUUCAAUAGUAAAAAUAGUUCCAUCAAUCGUGAGUGUCGAAAAUGGUCGUAUAGAACUUUUUCAAAAUAUGUGAAUGAAUCAAUCGAAUGACUCAACUAGUUUUACAACAUGAAUUUAUUGAUGAAGACGAAACUAUCUGUAGUCGAGUGAAUAAUCCUCACCCGUUUGUUGAUGAGAAUUUCCGGCAAGCAAUGAAUGUUGAUCAGUUGCUGUAUUCUGUAAAUUUUUAGAUACCAUUUGGUUGGAGCAUUCUAAAGCAGUUGAAUAAGAAAAUUAAAGGCAAACGCGAUUCCAGAGACACGCAUGCGCUAUCCAACACAUAAACACACACGUAAACAUACACAUGGACAUAUCUCCCACCAUGUCACUGUACGCUUCAAGGUCUGCCCGAAGAAGGACAGAAACUUGAAUCGGCUAGCCUUCGGUCACUGGGGAAAAAGUGAGAGAUUCCUGAUCAAUUACACUCCAUUGCCGAUUGACUCUCGUACGAAUUUUCCAUCUUCCUCAACUCUCACUUUUUUUUUCUCAAACGGUGUCCUAAAAUUUAGCUCACAUUGUUCUCGAGCAGGUGGGAAUGUGCAAAUCCGGCCCUUAUUCUCGUUUUGUGUUUCGCCCCUACUCUAACUUCUUUGUUCUGCACUACGCAUGCGCUGUAGCCUCCCUAAGUAUUCUCAACAAUUCGUUUGAGUGCAUGAAUGUAAAAGCGAAAAAAAGAGAAUGAGUGAAGAAUGGAAAUAAAAAAAAAACGCCUUUGUGAAGCGUAGAUACAGAAACGAGAGCGAAAGAUUGAAAUUCAAUCACUCGAAUGAAAUUUCCGACAAAUAUUCGAGCGUGUGACGUAAAACGAACCGAACUCUAUGACCAGGAGUGUUAGUGUGUCCCGGGGCCAUAUAAAUAUACCUUCGAUCCGAUUGAGGAACACUGCGACCAUGCUGCCAAAAAUAAAACAGUUUGUAAUAUUAUGGAGAAGGGUGGAGUGCGAUUGGCGAUGAAAACAAAAAAAAUAGAAUAAAAAAUUAUCGUAGUCCGAGCCCAAAAAUUCCGUAAAUAUCGUGGAUAUAAAAAACAUCGGAGGAAGAGAGGGAGAGAGUGAGUGGUGCGGAUGAAAGAGUUGUCCUCCCCAUGGCUAUAAUUAUUAUCGAUCGAUCAACCUCACGUGAGAGCCAUUAAGCGACAUCAUGAGGUCCCCAUAAAGUGACACUCCCUUCUGGUUACCAAAUACUUUUCUCAUUCCAUCAAUCGAUGAGACCCCAUUUAUCGGGAUAUCGAUGAGGAAUUUGCAAUUUUUAGUCAAAGCAUUCGAGCGGUUUUGAAAAAAAAUUGGUGCAUGGAUGUGACUGCUGAGUUUAUUUGAGUUCCUCCUCGUUUCCGGUUGCUUCUGUUUGCAUACGCGCAUUUUUAUGACAUCUGAGAGACUUGAAGAGAAUGGAAGCAAUGAAAAUCUCAUCUCUCGUAGUUCUGGAGGCACAUGGCGUCGAGUCGAUGAGAACCUUCGAUGUGCCGACAGCUGUCCGAGACCAGAGCACCUGCGGAGGAUUGAUGAUGCGCUUGUCUCAGAAAAUCCUGAGGUAUCUGCAAAUCCCAUGACAAAGGGGACCUUGUUCUCCAGAGUGAAGCCAAGAAAAGGCAAUACCAUUUUCUUUGAACACUCCAAUGCGAAAUAUGUUUCUCGUCAAACGGUCAUACUUGCAUGUUAUAUAUUUUCCCCUAUUCUCAGUAGUAUCAUUUAUUUCAGUUAUAAAGAGUCACAAUUAAGUUUUAUAUCCUCUGUAAACAGAGACUGACAUUUCCGUUGAAAAUUCACUUCAAAUUGCCUGGAUAGCACGUGGAUCUUAACAGGGGAAUAAUCCGAACCUCUGUAUUCACGGGAGAAUAAAAAUUCACGGAUGGCAAACCUCCGACAUAGACUGUUCCGUGGAGUUCUUCACGAAAACAAGUUUCAGUCGUUCAAGGCUACACGAGGGACACUGUCGACAGACCAUGACCGCGGGAAAAUUUCAGGGAAUUUUCAUCACCCCGGAAAAUCUAAUGAGAAUUCCUCAUUUUUACUGACAGAAGAUCGUAAUCCCACAACGUGCACGUAUUUUCGAGGAGAAUAGUUAUUCAAUUGCCUAACAAUUGAUAGUGACAAUGAUGAAAUUGCUUGACCAGUGGUAAUGCUUUGUGCUAAAAAUCGACAAUCCUCUUAGCGCAAGUAUCAUUGAAAAAUGUUAUCGGAUG